rfam:Dipodomys ordii contig_70367, whole genome shotgun sequence.
GGUGGCUCAGUGGCAGAGCGCUUGUCUUGCAUGCAUGAGGCCCUGGGUUCGAUUCCUCAGCACCA